rnacentral:RNase_P_RNA from 2 species
UCUGCUCUUUGGGCGAUCGCCCAGCACCUUCUUUCGCAGCUGCAGUAACCACUCGCGAAAUAUCAAUCGUGAUUAUCGAGUCUACGAAAAAAGGUGCUGGGAGGAACGUCCGGGCUUCAUAGGAACGCCAUGCGGGUAACGCCCGCCGCGGCGGUGCAUACUCCAUCCUUGUGGUGGACAAGACCGUCGUAGGACAAGUGUCACAGUGACGAUUCCCGCCUUCAAACGUGGGAGUGCAACGCCCCGGGAACCGGGGUCCAGCACCUUUCUCGUUCGUGUGCCAAAUGCUAGUUAACCCUGGCAUUCGCUCCAAACAUUCAGAAAGGUGCUGGAUGGUAAACUCUUGGUGAAGCAAGGAGGAUUUGGGUGUAGGGAAUCGGCUUUGGUUCCAAAGUCCCUUUCACCCCUCCGCUCGAGCCCGCGAGCAAUCGCGGGCCUAGAUAGAUGAUCGCCUCCUCGGGGGAAACCUCGGGAAGACAAGACCCGGCGUAUAGAGGAGCAGCGAAU